GUAGUUGCUUCAAGUAUUAUGGAACUUGGUUAAACUUUUCUGAAUCAGAAGGUAGAUAAGAUGAUUUUGAUAUAGAUGAUUUUUACUCUCAUAGCAUGAGUAGAAAGACAAAGUCUUCUUCUCGACCCUUUGGGAAUAGGAAACACAUAACUACACAUAGACGAUUGUGUUAAGUGGAAACAGAACGUUGACACAAAAGUACAACGUUCGAACACCGAUUCUGAGUUUAAUUCAACAAGAACUACUAAAACUUCUUUGUGUUUGCAAAUACCCUUUCGUCAAGAACGAUCGAUCGAAUUGCAUAAGGUAAACUUAAAAUACUGAAGUGAGAAUCGGUAUAAAAAGCAGCACGUAUGGAUUGCUCUCACAUCACUACUUCUCCUGCCACUACAACUCAAACAUCGGUCGCAUAUUGUUGAUCAGCCGAGUUCUCUUUAGAUCACACAGCGAAAUGACAGCUAGAAUGGUAUGGUUAUGCUUACCUCUUUUACUUGCUGUGCUAUCACCAUGCCUGAUUGAAGCAGCCUGGGAAGACUGGAACACGGGAUAUGGUGGCGUCAAAUGGCUGCUCAAUUGCGAUUUUCCUGGUUACGACAUUGGCAACCGACGAAGUACUGGAGAAGACUGUGGUCGCAUCUGCAUGGAAAAUCCGAAUUGUAAUCAUUUUAGUCACUUUCAUGGAAUUUGUUACAUGAAAACCGUACCGAUAGCUGUUCCUCGUACACCGGCGAACGGUGGGAUGUGUGGUUUCCUUCCAUGUCAUCAUCUGUACAAUCCAUUGCCGGGACAUUACUGUUACAACUACAAGACGCUGGCGUUACAUCAAGCUAGUCUGUAACGUGUAACUUAAUAUUCGUGUGUAACUUAAUAUUCGUAUCACGAUAUAAUAGGAAUUCGAUAAUAAUCGAUUCCUUUUAUAUCGUGAUUCGUAUAAUACACGACAUUAAAAACUGUAUACAAAACCACGUCAUUACGUGGUCAUUGUAAUACGAAAAAUACUGAAGGGGAGGCAUCAGUAAGUUGUGACAUGAUGCCGAAUAACGCUAGCAAUAUGUUUAACUGGUGUUUUGUGUGGAAUGUACAAGUAUAUAAGUAAGCUAGUUAUAUCUAAUUUUGCAGAACACAUAACAGAGCCGUGUAAAGUGAUUCUACACUGUCUCACAAAAAUUGACGUGGAAAUAAGUUGAAUGCAAUAAAAAUCAGAAAAAAAAAUGUGGCAUACACAAGAAAAGCAAACAAAACAAGAUGAAAAGAUACCACUGACUUGGAAAUUGUUUCCCUCCUGGUGUAAAUGAUGUAUAGCUUCUUUGUGAACAGCUAACAUUCAGCUUUCAGUCAGCUGACAGGUCAGGACUUAGAAUGCAGCCUUACUGUGGGGCUUAAUUAAAUCAAAGCAGCAUUAAACACGCCACAAUAAAAGACAUUUCAUAGAUAUGUCGAUCAUGCAGUAACCAAGAAGUUGGGAAUUCUAAGUUUUAAUCUCACGAGAAAGAAAACUCUAGAACCCGUCGUUAGCAACACUCCCACUGCACUGAUUGUCUGCCAGAGACCAAGGAAACCAUUAUGACUCAGCUAGGUAACUGGCGGCCAUUACGCAGUUUUCUUACCCUAACUCUCAUCAAAUUUUGGAGGUUAUCUACUGAUUUACAACAGCAAUGGCGUCCCCCUUUACGAAAACAAUGAAACCAUGAAUGGUAACGGGAAGGUAACAACUGCUGAGCCAAAGAACUAGUCGCAACAGAGGGUUUGCCCGACCUGCAAAUAAUUGCAUUUUCCGCUGCCCUGCAAAGAUGGAUUCACCCUGUAGAGCUGAUCCAAGCUGAUGCCACAGGACUGAGCUGUUGCCCAGCAAGUGUCUCCGCUUUUUAUCUUUUUACAACGCUUGCACAUUGCAGAUUCGGGCGAAGACAGCAACAACAGGCAGAACAAAACUGCACAAACAAUAGUAAACUGCAAACAGAGAAUUGAAAUCUGAUGCUCCAGAAAUGAUACAACGGACCAAGUUAUACUUUAUCAGAAGAGUGUUCCAAAGAAUAAGUUUGGGAUCGGCUCAGGCUAUUUUACACCAAUUCAUUGCCAUUUCGUUAGGCGUAGAUUUGUCGCAGUUCUAAAUUCGUUAUGUAAAAAUUUGAAGGUGCAACGAUUCCAGGUAAAUGACUUUUUUGUGUUAAACGUUGCGAAAUCGAAGAAAAACUAGGAAUCAGACGGUAACAACUUAAAAAUUCUACUUACGGUAUGAAUGGGCUUAAUGGGCCAAAAGCAACUAUUUACUCCCCAAAGGUAUUUUAACAUCUUGGACAUUGAUGGAAUAAGCAGAUACAAGGUAAAUCAAAUGUAUUCAUUCAAAUCACCUUAUUCCUACAAACGUGUGCCAAUAUUUGAGUAGCAUCGCCGCAAGAAUGGCUGCUAAUAGCGCUGUACUUUCUCAUCACAUGCAUUAGUAUUUGUCAAUGAAAACAAGUUUAUAUCAAUGCUUUUCCGACUUUGGCUACGAUGCAAUUACGAGAAAAUCAAUAAAUUCGUGAAAUAGUUUAUACAUCAUA